AUUAAGUUACAGACAGCUCAUUUAAUAAACGACUGCAGCUUUCCGCACGGUCAGCUUUUAUUGUUGCACACCGGCAUCCACAUGACAGCAGGCAGCGCGUGUCCUUUUGAGGGUGCAGUGACUUCCGAGUGAAGAUACAGAAUUACAUCUGACAUGGAUUUUAACCAGCAGCCAUAUCACCCUGUAGCCCAAGACUGGUUGCCCACUGAAGCUAAGCAGGGCUGAGCCUGCUCAGUACCUGGAUAGGAGACUUCCUGGGAAAACUAGGUUGCUGCUGGAAGAGGAGUUAUUGAGGCCAGCAGGGGGUGCUCUCCCUGUGGUCUGUGUGGGUCCUAACGCCCCAGUGUAGUGACGAGGACACUACUGUCCUUCGGAUGAGACAUUAAAUCGAGGGCCUGACUCUCUGUGGUCAUUAAAAAUCCCAGGAUGUCUGUCGAAAAGAGUAGAGGUGUGACCUCGGCAUCCUUGCCAAAUUCGUCCAUUGGCCUCUGACCAUCAUGGCCUCCUAACAAUCCCCAUAUCUGCUGAUUGGCUUCAUCACUGUCUCCACUCCACCAAUAAGCUGGUGUGUGAUGGGUGUUCUGGUGCACUAUGGCUGCCGUUGCAUCAUCCAGGUGGAUGCUGCACACUGGUGGUGGACGAGGAGAUACCCGCUCAUAAUGCAACGCGCUUUGAGUGCUUAGAAAAGCACUAUAUAAAUGUAAUGAAUUAUUAUUAUUAUUAUUAUUUAUACUUGCAUAAUUACACUCAAUGAAUGCAAGCAAAUACUAAAUUUAAACCAAGUUUAAAAUGGUGCUAAAAAAGGCAUUCAUUGUCGGAAAUUCCCAUUGAAACUUUUAUAUAUAUAUAUAUAUACACACACACACCGAUGAGACAGUAUAUUAUCACCACCCUCAUUAUAUGAUGAUCAAUGAGUAUGUCUGGCAAUCGAAUGGUGCCGAUGGUGCAGUUCACAGAGCAGUAUAUAUAUCGCCCAGGGACUGGCUUUCGGUCAGUAGUGUCUCAGAAACAGAGAGAGAUCUCAGUGCGUCUUGUGGGUUGUUCACGUGCCUCUGUAGUGAGUAUGUAUCAGAAGUGGUGCGUGGAUGGCCAAGCGACGAACUGCCGUCCAACCGUGCAGGGGCAUAGAUCACCACUUUUAAUACCACGUAAAUUCGUCCCCCACACUUUUUUCGCCGGUUUUCAAGAUCCGGUGUGAAUAAAUAUACAUUUAAAUUCAAAGAACGAUUCAUCAGAGAUCCGCGUCCCCAAUCUAGUUCAGAGCCACUGGAAGAACAAAACAGACGUCACAAAAAACAAGAAGAAACAACAACAACAAAAAAAAAUGGUGGAAGGAUCGUGAUUAAUAUUGUAUCGUUUUUUUUUUUAUACUUACUGUAACUCAUACUCUUCAAUAAAAAUGAUUUCAGAUGACUGUU